rfam:Lupinus angustifolius cultivar Tanjil contig_16918, whole genome shotgun sequence.
CCACCCAUGACCUAAUGAAUAAGGUGAUUGACUUCUAUUCAAGCGAUUGUGGGUUCGAAUCCAACUAGGUGUG